rnacentral:rRNA from 1 species
AGUGAACGCUGGCGGUAGGCCUAACACAUGCAAGUCGAACGGUAGCACAGUAAGAGCUUGCUCUUACGGGUGGCGAGUGGCGGACGGGUGAGGAAUACAUCGGAAUCUACUUUUUCGUGGGGGAUAACGUAGGGAAACUUACGCUAAUACCGCAUACGACCUACGGGUGAAAGCAGGGGAUCUUCGGACCUUGCGCGAUUGAAUGAGCCGAUGUCGGAUUAGCUAGUUGGCGGGGUAAAGGCCCACCAAGGCGACGAUCCGUAGCUGGUCUGAGAGGAGGAUCAGCCACACUGGAACUGAGACACGGUCCAGACGCCUACGGGAGGCAGCAGUGGGGAAUAUUGGACAAUGGGCGCAAGCCUGAUCCAGCCAUACCGCGUGGGUGAAGAAGGCCUUCGGGUUGUAAAGCCCUUUUGUUGGGAAAGAAAAGCAGCAGGUUAAUACCCCGCUGUUCUGACGGUACCCAAAGAAUAAGCACCGGCUAACUUCGUG